rnacentral:lncRNA from 1 species
AUGAGAACUGCUCUGUGGGAAUUUCAUGUGCAAACCCACAGCUCAGGAGGGGCUGGGGUGCGUGGACCACACUCAGAAAGGAGAUGGAGCAGGAACGGUGGCCGUGAGGGCGCCCCCGAGGGAGCUGGAUUAAUUCAACGGGGUUGGAAAUUUUUGCCUUUCCCUUUAAAAACAUUCCACAUCCACAAGAUUUCAGCCCUGAAUCCUGGGAGGUGUCUUGAGAGGAUUUUACCUGGCUUCCUGUUCAUGCAUCACACAGGACUGUGGCUUCAUCGCUUCAGCAGACAAAUUCGGGUCUCUCGUGGACGGAGAUUCCAGGAAGGGAGCCAACUACACUUCCUCCCCUGCUUCCAGUGGCAUUGCUGUGGUGCCUCCACGUCCCUGCCUUCUCGACGCCUCCAGACGACGUGGGCAGCCGUCCGUCCAGAUCUAGACUCAGCGCGUUCCCACCACGACUAGCAAAACGGCAGCCCCGGGGGUCUGGGGGGAUGCCGGAGCCUGCGCCCUGGUCGUGCUCUCCUCCCACACGGGAAAAUGACACGGAGGCCACACUGCCUCCCGUGCCGCUUCCACAGGGGCCCCCGCAGAGGCUGAGGGAUGCUCGUCUAAUCCGUGGGCAACGCCUUGGACUCGCACGUCCAGGCAGGGGUGCCGGGUGGCCGGCUUAGCGGGAGCCGUGGCUGGUGCCCCCUUCUCUCCUGGGCAUCUGCCCUCACGCUCUGAGGCCAGGGAGGGCGCGCUUUGCUGCCACACGUCCCAGGGACCCAGCUUGGUGCUUCUCUUGGACUCGCCUGUCCCUGAGGCCUUCCCGCUGUCAGGACAGUUGAACCAGGCUCCACCCGGCUCUCCCAGCAUCUUUGGCAGAGCCCUCAGCUCCUCGUCUUUGCAAGGACCGGGUCCUGGAGGCUGCGGGGAGGGAAGCUUUGCUUCCCGGCAGUGGCUGGGGAUCCGCUGACGAGGACCCCCCGCCGACCCAGGGACCUUCUGCCCCAGGCUUCAGCAGACGCAGCCCGGCAGGAGCCUCCUGACCAGGGCGACUCCUCUGGCCUGGGUUUCACAUCCAGCCACUGGAAUAA